ACUCCUACGGGACGCAGCAGUGAGGAAUAUUGGUCAAUGGGCUUACGCCUGAACCAGCCAAGUCGCGUGAGGGAAGACUGCCCUAUGGGUUGUAAACCUCUUUUGUCAGGGAGCAACGCCGGCUACGUGUAGCCGGACUGAGAGUACCUGAAGAAAAAGCAUCGGCUAGCUCCGUGCCAGCAGCCGCGGUAAUACGUAGGAUGCGAGCGUUAUCCGGAUUGAUUGGGUUUGAA
rnacentral:rRNA from 1 species